UGGGGAAUAUUGCACAAUGGGGGAAACCCUGAUGCAGCGACGCCGCGUGAGCGAAGAAGGUUUUCGAAUCGUAAAGCUCUGUCCUAUGAGAAGAUAAUGACGGUAUCAUAGGAGGAAGCCCCGGCUAAAUACGUGCCAGCAGCCGCGGUAAUACGUAUGGGGCGAGCGUUGUCCGGAAUCAUUGGGCGUAAAGGGUACGUAGGCGGCCCAGUAAGUUAGAAGUGAAAUAAUAUAGCUCAACUAUAUAAAGCUUUUAAAACUGCUAGGCUUGAGAGAUGGAAGGGAAAGUGGAAUUCCUAGUGUAGCGGUGAAAUGCGCAGAUAUUAGGAAGAAUACCGGUGGCGAAGGCGACUUUCUGGUCAUCAUCUGACGCUGAGGUACGAAAGCGUGGGUAGCAAACAGG
rnacentral:rRNA from 1 species